rnacentral:misc_RNA from 1 species
GAUGAAGAACGUAGCGAAAUGCGAUAAGUAAUGUGAAUUGCAGAAUUCAGUGAAUCAUCGAAUCUUUGAACGCACAUUGCGCCCCCUGGUAUUCCGGGGGGCAUGCCUGUCCGAGCGUCAUUACAACCCUCAAGCUCAGCUUGGUGUUGGGCCCCGCCGCCCCGGCGGGCCCUAAAGUCAGUGGCGGUGCCGUCCGGCUCCGAGCGUAGUAAUUCUUCUCGCUCUGGAGGUCCGGUCGUGUGCUCGCCAGCAACCCCCAAUUUUUUUCAGGUUGACCUCGGAUCAGGUAGGGAUACCCGCUGAACUUAAGCAUAUCCAAUAAGCGGAGGA